AUGGAAGACCACACGACGAGCCGCCUCGGUGCGACGGCGAGCCCCCUCGGCGAGCCACUUCUCACGGCCACGGGGAAGCGAGCUGACCGCGACGCCGAGGCGCAGCUCCCUCCGUAUCGCAGCGCAUGUGCCUCCUUCGCCAGGACGUGCCUCAACCUCACCAACGCCGUCUCGGGCAUCGGGGUGCUCACCAUGCCGUACGCGGUGUCGCGGGGCGGGUGGCUCAGCCUGGCGCUCUUCGCCCUCGUCGGCGCCGUCUGCUACUACACCGGCACGCUCAUAGCGCGCUGCAUGCGCGCCGACGGCUCCAUCGCCACCUACCCGGACGUCGGCCAGCUGGCCUUCGGCGCCGCCGGCCGGAGAACCGUCGCCCUGUUCAUGUACGUGGAGCUCUACUUCGUCGCCAUCAGCUUCCUGGUCCUCGAGGGCGACAACCUCGACAAGCUCUUCCCCAGAGCCGGCGUCGAGCUGCCCGCCGGCUACCGGCUGCGCGGGAAGCAGCUCUUCAUCGUCCUGGCCGGCGCCGUCGUGCUGCCCACCACCUGGCUCAAGAACCUCGGCGUGCUCGCCUACGUGUCGGCGCUCGGGCUCGUCGCGUCGGCGGCCUUGACGGCGUCGCUCGUCUGGGCCGGCGUCUCUGAAUCCGGGUUCCGCGGGAGCGGCAACGUCCUCAACCUCGCUGGCCUGCCCACCUGCCUCGGCCUCUACUUCGUCUGCUUCACCGGCCAUGCCGUCUUCCCCACGAUAUACUCGUCCAUGAGGAACCGCGAGCGCUUCUCCCAAGUGCUGCUCUUCUCCUCGGUGCUCUGCAGUCUCAACUACGGACUCACGGCGGUGCUGGGCUACCUCAUAUACGGCGACGACGUGCAGUCGCAGGUGACGCUCAACCUGCCAUCAGGGAGGCUCUACACCAAGAUCGCCAUCGUCAUGACUCUCAUCAACCCGCUGACCAAGUACGCGCUGCUCGUGGCGCCCAUCACGGCGGCGAUCGAGGAGAGGUUCUCGCUCGCGGGGAGUGGGUCGGCGAGGGUGGCCGUCAGCACCACCGUUCUUGUCAGCACAGUCGCCGUGGCGUCCAUGGUGCCGUUCUUCGGGUUCCUCAUGUCCUUCAUCGGUUCCUUCCUCAGCAUCAUGGGCACAGUCUUCUUCCCCUGCCUCUGCUACCUCAAGAUCUACAGAGCCAAAGGCCUACGCCGUGUCGAGGUCGCGGCGAUCGUCGCCAUCCUGCUUCUCGGGGCGUUUGUUGCAAUCACUGGCACCUACACUUCUUUGUUGGACAUCAUAGGCACUUUUUAA
rnacentral:rRNA from 1 species